rnacentral:lncRNA from 1 species
UUAUAUCAAAAUAUUUACAUCUUGUAUCAAACCUGGUAGUAGUAUGGACUAACUACUACACUGUUUCAGUAAUCUAUAUUCUUGACUAUCUAUAAACAAGUAAGCAUAUGAAAAUUAAGUAAGCUAUCUAAGGGAAACAGUUUAACUUGCUCAAUCCAAUCUGCCAGUUCUUGCAGUUUCUGCCUCUAAGGUGUAGGAG